GACGAACGCUGGCGGCGUGCUUAACACAUGCAAGUCGAACGGAAAGGCCCUGCUUUUGUGGGGUGCUCGAGUGGCGAACGGGUGAGUAACACGUGAGUAACCUGCCCUUGACUUUGGGAUAACUUCAGGAAACUGGGGCUAAUACCGGAUAGGAGCUCCUGCUGCAUGGUGGGGGUUGGAAAGUUUCGGCGGUUGGGGAUGGACUCGCGGCUGAUCAGCUUGUUGGUGGGGUAGUGGCUUACCAAGGCUUUGACGGGUAGCCGGCCUGAGAGGGUGACCGGCCACAUUGGGACUGAGAUACGGCCCAGACUCCUACGGGAGGCAGCGGUGGGGAAUAUUGCACAAUGGGCGGAAGCCUGAUGCAGCAACGCCGCGUGCGGGAUGACGGCAUUCGGGUUGUAAACCGCUUUCGCCUGUGACGAAGCGUGAGUGACGGUAAUGGGUAAAGAAGCACCGGCUAACUACGUG
rnacentral:rRNA from 1 species